rnacentral:lncRNA from 1 species
AUGGAAGGAGUAUCUAUGAUAUGGUUUCAAUCUUGGUGCCAAGUUGCACAGACACCUCUAGGAGUAGGCGUGUUGCAGGUGACUAGUACGCAUCGGUGUCGGACAAGUGUUGGUGUCCAACAUGCGUUGACACUCGUACAACACUUGUCGGAAAACCCAGACAGUGCCCUUAAAAAUGGAUUUAUUCUUUACUUCAACACUCUUUAA